rnacentral:rRNA from 1 species
AACGACUCUCGGCAACGGAUAUCUCGGCUCUCGCAUCGAUGAAGAACGCAGCGAAAUGCGAUACUUGGUGUGAAUUGCAGGAUCCCGCGAACCAUCGAGUCUUUGAACGCAAGUUGCGCCCGAAGCCUUGGCCGAGGGCACGUCUGCCUGGGUGUCACUC